ensembl:snoRNA
GAGAGGCCCUGUCGAAGCUGCGCCCGCUCCGCCGCGUGGCUGGCGCAGUCAAAAAGGAGCCGAGAGCGAGCAGUUUUCCCUGACGGUCGCCGCGCGGUUUGUGCUGCCGUAACUGCCUGGCAACAUCCCGGGAAAAGACACAG